UGUCCCCCCGGUGUCCCCCGGUGCGGCCGCCCCGCCGCUCCCGGAGCUGUCCGUGGUGCUGAUGGCCCCGACGGGGCGGGAGGCGCGCCCAGGACCUGCCGUGGGGGCGGCCGCAUGAUCCGCAUCCCACAUGACACGGAAAGGAGCUGGGCAGCGGCCACCCCUGAGAAACGUCAUUUUUUCCUCCGAUGCAAAAGAGGGGUGGAACACCCCGUCCUUCCCCUCCGGUGGCUUUGCGAACAGCCGGGCAGAGGCAGCUGCAGCCCUGGAGGUACCUCAUGGUUCCCAGUAUGACCGGGACCUUCCCAGACGUGGCUUCACCUGGGAUAACCAUCAGAGCAAAGAGGAGACCAGUGCCUCUGGGAUUAUGUUUUGGAGCAGGGGAGAGAGUGAGAAUUUCCAAGAGAUGGGCAGAGAAACCAGCCAGGCAUGAGAGUCACCACUGCUUAUCUCUCAACACCCACCAUGGCAAAACAGUCCUGGUAAGUGCAGUGUUCCUCACUUCAAGCAGAAGAAUGUGCUGUGCUGUGGGUAUGGUCUGGUGUUGCUAAAAAAUAAUGCAGGCACGUGGGUGAGAGCAUCUAUAUUUUUACCUCUGAAUCACAGAAGGGUACAGGCUAGUCAUGCCCAAGGACACACUCAACCCCCAUUAGGGAGGACAAAAAGCCUCCAAAGUUGUAUUUCAAGCUUCUCUACACUCUUCUUGGAUGAUUCUAGUAGGUGGAAGCUGUUGUGACAGCAGAGUUGGAAAUUAGGUCAGUCCUUCUUCUGCUUGCUCCCACUUUUUCAUUUCCCCACAGUCACACUGGGCACAUAUCAGGGUUCUGCCACCAUUUUUAUAUAUAUGUUUUUUAGACAUUUAGGGCAAAUUUGGAGUUUUGCAUACUAAUCUCAGCAGUGGGAAGAUAAAAUAAAGCCCUGAAACACUUAAACCUGAGGGGUUAUCCUAUGGGAGGAAGAAUUACAUCUCCAAGAGACUUCCAACCAUUGUGUACCUGUUUUUAAACUGUGUGGUACCCUCUGAGGAGGUGAGGGUGUCUAUCUGGGUAACACUGAGCACAGAUAUGGCUCGUAUUUUACCACUGCCUGUACCCAGACCAGAGCAUGAUGUUGAGUGUCUAUCUGCAGUUACAGUAAGGGCUCCUUCUCAGUGUCAACAGAGAAUAGACAUCUCAAGGUUUAGGUGCAUGAAUAAUUACUGGGUUUUGGCGACUUACCCCAGGUUAAUGGACCCACAGUAACUUCCUCUAGGUCAGUCUUAACCCCAGGAAAUACAUGAGAAAAAUCACUGCCUCCAGAUGCAGGGAAAAGCCAUUGCUCUCAGAGAAUUUAAAACCACAAUGAACUUCAGGAGAUGGCAACUUAAGGAGACUCAGCCAAAAUGCAGGAACACACUUCACCUCAAGAGAUUUUCAGGCCUUGAUUUUCAGAAAAGCUGCCCAGAGAACAAAAAUGCCUUUGUAAGAGGAGCAGGGCAAAGAGCUGAGGAUUUCUAUGAGCACCAGAGCAGAGAAAAGGACUGGCAGGGAAACUGUGUGCUUACAGAAGCAUAUGCAUUCGCAUUCCUCCACUGGAAGCAGGAGGACUAAAUGGCCUCAAUAUGCACAAUAGUCAUCUCUGUACAUCAAGGGACAGAGAGAGACUAAAACACCGCACUAUUCUACAAAGGGAUUUCUACACUGGCACAUUGCACACACAGGGCAGUUCAACUGAAUUUAGGCAGGGUGGAUGUCAUUUUCUAGCAUCUUGCAGCCAGACAAAAGCCCCACUCCCGCAUUCUGAUUCAAUUUGCUCAUACUCCUAAUGUUGAUUACACUCAGUUAAAUGAAGCAUUUCUCUUGCAGCCUGGCAGCUCAUCCCAAGAUACUCUCCAGAGAGGGAAGUUUAUGGACUAAAUGACCAGCUUAGUGCUUUUGAAAUAAAUUUGCUGGGCCAAUGCUUGUCUAGUCUUUUGCAGCUAUGAUACAGAGAGGUAAAAAAUGUUGAAUAAAAAAGCCUCUCUGCUAGUGCUUAAGUAGUGUACAAUGAUCUGCCUAUUUAGCUGUAUUUCUAAUAUUGAAAACAAAAUACUUUUUCUUUUGAUGAAACAUCUUAAAAAUCCCAUUUACUGCAUUCCUUUUUGAAUCUUAUUAGGUUUUGCUCUAAUGGGCACUGCAUUUUUAGGACAGUGAACAUGCAAACACACAGUGACUAUGCCAUAUGGGAUUUGUGCAAUAGCCAAGUGUAUGUGGCAGUGAUUUCAUGAAAUUUUUGUGGCUCAAAUAGUUAAUCUCUAAGUAGCAGAUCUGUUAUGGAGAGCUAUCGGCUCAAAAUUGAGCUAUUUGAUUUCCAAACUGCAAAUUAAGGUCAGUGAAAUGGAACUGUGGCACCAGGAAAUCCCUCUUCAAUGAUUGUGAGUCAUUUUACAUGUUCUUUCUUUUCCAAAGAUAAUGCACGAGUGGCCCAGAUUGAAAAGCAAGAUGUAUUCUAUUUGCCAUCUCUAUGGCAGUUGUCUUGUGCUAAGUGGGCAGUUUUUCCUUAUCUCUUCCACAACCAAUCCUCCCUCUGGGGAGACAUCUGCUGAUAAUGGGCUAUUGAACGUCACUGCAUGACUUGUAAGAACUGUAACAUCCCAUCGCAAGAUGCUCCACCCAGAAGGAGGAGCCAAGCAUUCAUACCUGCAUUUAGUCUUGAGAUUGUAGCCCACCCACACAUCUUUUCCCAGAUUUUCUGCACUAUAUUUUCCCAGAAGAACAGCUGCCUCUUCCACUGCCUCUUCAGUGUCACACCUGACACUCCAGGAGGACUGCAGCCAUAAUUCCCAAUUGGACUGCUGCCAACCACCCUCUCAAACAAGGUGUCAGGUUGUAUUCUGACUCUCUUAGUGUUGUUUUGGGUCACUGAAUUGUUUCUUUUAUAUUUUUAUUUUCUUCCCUAAUAAAGAACUGUUAUUCCUUCUCCCAUAUUUUUGCCUGAGAGCCCCCUUUAAUUACAAAUUUAUAACAGUUCAGAAGGAAGGGGUCUACAUUUUUUUCCAUUUCAGGAGAGGCUCCUGCCUUCCUUAGCAGACACCUGUCUUUCCAAACCUAGACAAUGAAGAAGUAGGUUUUUAAACAGAAAUACAGAAAGGCCUUAUACCAAUUUUAAAAGGAUUCCCACUCUAAAAUGCUUGAAAGACAAAGUGAGAUUUUUGGCACUGCUGAAUCCAUGCAGACUCACAAUUACUGGAAAGCAGUCAUUCAGGAAAGCACUGACACAGGGCAGCUGGAUUCAUCUCCUGGAAUCCUCCUUCCUUUGGACACCACUGCUUGCUCUCCACUGAGGUCACAUGCUGCUCUCUGCCCAGGGCUGCUCAAUUCCUGUCUUCUCCAAAGUGUGUUUGCAGGUAACCCAAGCUCUCCCAGGAACAGUGGCUGGGCUGACUCUUAGACAGAUGCAUUAGAAAAAAAGCCAAAAAGUACUAUCUAGGCACUACAGCCCUGUAACUGUCUUGGGGUUUAUCCACCUGCAAAACUAAAUGUGUCAGAUCUGAGCAGACACAGAGAGAAGAUUUGGCUCACAAGGAGAAAUAUCACAAGAACAGUGUUAGCAACUCUGCCUAUUUUAACACCUCUAGAAAGGCCAUUCCAUUCUUGUACCAGACUUCCACUGCUCUUCAGUACUGGUCAAGACAUUUUAUCUAUGAGGCUUAAUUUGUACAGCUGGCUAUUUUUAGAUGGUACAUACUUCUGCAUGGCAAGAAGGGAAAUUAAGGAAGAAAAUUUUCCCAUAAUAUUCCUUUUGAUCUAGUUAAUAGCCUCCAUGUGUA